UGAGGAAUUUUGCGCAAUGGGAGCAAUCCUGACGCAGCAACGCCGCGUGGGUGAUGAAGGCCUUCGGGUCGUAAAGCCCUGUCAGGUGGGAAGAAUGUCCCGGGACUGAACAGGUUCCGGGAGUGACGGUACCACCAGAGGAAGCACCGGCUAACUCCGUGCCAGCAGCCGCGGUAAUACGGAGGGUGCAAGCGUUAUUCGGAAUUACUGGGCGUAAAGCGCGUGUAGGCGGUCCUGCAAGUCUGAUGUGAAAGCCCCGGGCUUAACCCGGGAAGUGCAUUGGAAACUGUGGGACUUGAGUACUGGAGAUGAUGGGGGAAUUCCCGGUGUAGAGGUGAAAUUCGUAGAGAUCGGUAGGAAUAUCAGUGGCGAAUGCACCCGUCUGAAGGGUAGCUGACGCUGGGGCACGAAGGCGUGGGGAGCAAACAGGAUUUGUUACCUGGGUAGUC
rnacentral:rRNA from 1 species